rnacentral:rRNA from 1 species
ACUCCUACGGGAGGCAGCAGUGGGGAAUAUUGCACAAUGGGGCGCAAGCCUGAUGCAGCCAUGCCGCGUGUGUGAAGAAGGCCUUCGGGUUGUAAAGCACUUUCAGUCGUGAGGAAGGUAGUGUAGUUAAUAGCUUUAGCUGAUCAUUUUUGAACGUUAGCGACAGAAGAAGCACCGGCUAACUCCGUGCCAGCAGCCGCGGUAAUACGGAGGGUGCGAGCGUUAAUCGGAAUUACUGGGCGUAAAGCGCAUGCAGGUGGUUUGUUAAGUCAGAUGUGAAAGCCCGGGGCUCAACCUCGGAAUUGCAUUUGAAACUGGCAGACUAGAGUACUGUAGAGGGGGGUAGAAUUUCAGGUGUAGCGGUGAAAUGCGUAGAGAUCUUAGGAAGAUACCGGUGGCGAAGGCGGCCCCCCUGGACAGAUNCUGACACUCAGAUGCGAAAGCGUGGGGAGCAAACAGGAUUAGAUA